ensembl:miRNA
CUCUACAUCACAGCCCAGCAGUUAUCACGGGCCCCUCCCCUCAAUGGGCCCGUGGUAACUGCAGGGCUAUGAUGUAGAG